rnacentral:tRNA from 1 species
GAAAAAUCUGGGAUAACUCAAACUUCUAAUUUGAUUCUUGAGAAGUUCGAUUCUUCUCUUUUCUUU